GCUGUGAUGGCCGAGAGGUUAAGGCGUUGGGCUUGAAAUCUAUUGGAAUUGUCCCGCGCAGGUUUGAAUCCUGCUCACAGCG